AUUGAACGCUGGCGGCAUGCCUUACACAUGCAAGUCGAACGGCAGCACGGGAGCAAUCCUGGUGGCGAGUGGCGAACGGGUGAGUAAUAUAUCGGAACGUGCCCAGUCGUGGGGAUAACGUAGCGAAAGCUACGCUAAUACCGCAUACGAUCUAUGGAUGAAAGCGGGGGAUCGCAAGACCUCGCGCGAUUGGAGCGGCCGAUAUCAGAUUAGGUAGUUGGUGAGGUAAAGGCUCACCAAGCCGACGAUCUGUAGCUGGUCUGAGAGGACGACCAGCCGCACUGGGACUGAGACACGGCCCAGACUCCUACGGGAGGCAGCAGUGGGGAAUUUUGGACAAUGGGCGCAAGCCUGAUCCAGCAAUGCCGCGUGCAGGAUGAAGGCC
rnacentral:rRNA from 1 species